rnacentral:rRNA from 1 species
ACGUACGCUGGCGGCACGCCUAACACAUGCAAGUCGAACGAAGUAGCAAUACUUAGUGGCAGACGGGUGAGUAACAUGUGGGUAUCUACCCUUUGGCCUGGAAUAACACGAGGAAACUUGUGCUAAUACCGGAUAAGUCUUUACGGAGAAAGCUUUAUGCACCAUUGGAUGAGCCCGCACUUGAUUAGCUAGUUGGUGAGGUAAUGGCUCACCAAGGCGACGAUCUUUAGCUGGUCUGAGAGGAUGAUCAGCCACAUUGGGACUGAGACACGGCCCAAACUCCUACGGGAGGCAGCAGUGGGGAAUCUUGC